UACUGGGAGAAACACCUGCUGACAACGUUUAACAUGCUGGUCAAAUCGAGUAAUAUUCGUACGUGUAGCUCGAGCGAUUAUUGUUUAAUCUCUGUUGUCUCUCAGUAUUGCAUUCUCACCGUAUUUAAUAUUGUUUUUACUUAGUAAAGAUGGAUUCAUCACUGAGUCUACAAUGAACUAUGAGAAACCAAAGAGAGCACGUCACAUGACACAACCUCGAGGUUGUCAAUCAGCGUGUUAUUCACACCUGUAGUGGUAAACAGCUAGUGCUGAGGAAAUGUGAGCUCGAAGGCGGAUCAGAUUCCUGUUCUUGGCUGACAGGAGUGGCGCCCAACGUGGUCAUCUGCUGCUGUAGCUCAUCCAUCUCAAGGUUUGAUGUGUUUUGCAUUCUGAGUUGCUUUUCUGCUCACCACAGUUGUAAAGUGUGGUCAUUUGAGUUACCAUAACCUUCCUGUCAGCUUGAACCUGUCUGUCAUACUUCUUUGACUGUUCUCAUCAACAAGACAUUUCUACCUGCAAAACUGGUGCUCACUGGGUGUUUUUCAUACCAUUCUGUGUAAACUCUAGAGACUGUUGUGCGUGAAAAAUCCUACAGUACUCAACCUAGCCUGUUUGGCACCAGCAACCACAAAGCCCCUGAGAUCACAUUUUCCCCCAUUCUGAGAAUUGAUGUGAACCUUAACUGAAGCUCUUGACCUGUAUGAUUUUAUGCAUUGCACUGCUGCCAGAUGAUUAGCUCAUUUCAUGAAUGAAUGUGCUAAUGUUUCUAUUACAGUGGCUGAAAAGUGUAUUUUGUGAAAGUUUAUAUUCCAAACAUGUUCGUCAUUUCAUUGUCAAGGGUUGGAAUGAUAUAUUUUGUAAUAAGCUCUUAAUACCAGUGUAAAAUAACAGUUUUCCAAUUUAAGCAUAAAGCGUUUGACUUUCAGAUUGUUUAAGCAGCACCAGAGGGAUGUCCUUUUACAACCCAUGUAAGUCCAGCAGCAUCUGUGUCAGUAACAAGAGAUGGACACAGGAAGCAAGGUCACAUUGCUGUUGUUCAAAGGGAUCUGGGUUCCCUUCUCAGCGUGUCAGUAAUGAGUCUGAUGAAUGCGGAUCAGUGACCUGAUCCCCAUGUUCACUGUAAUUCUCGCUGGUAUCCAUUUACGCUGCUAUCACUGGUCAGUCAGGUUCGUGACCAGGUUGGUGAAUUUAAGAGACUUCAAUAACUAAAAAUGAAAUAGUAUUAGAUUUUCAGCUCUGUUGUUUUUCUAAUAAUAUACACAUGCACUGUUUGACUAAUAGAGAUAAUACUGGUAAUAGAGCCAGACAAUAGAACUGUUUUGUGAUUUAACUCAGAGAAAGCUCAUAGCUCUGAAAGGGAUAUACAAUGUGUCAAUAAUAUGGUAGGCAGCCUAUAACAGGGAAACAAUCUCAUUCAAGCCUUCAUCUGUAUACUUGUAUUUUAAGUGGAUGUUGAAAUACAAGCAUGCAUCAAGUGUUUUAUUUUUCUCCUCCGAAAAAUCAUCUCCUUUCAGUCUGGCAUGGCGUGAAGGCAAAGUGCACAUGACAAUGCGAAUCUACAAACCUCGUGCCUCAGUGACUGCAUCUUUCCUCAACACAUUUGGCCCACAACCAUGUAACCAUGGCGACAGCAAGAAUUCAACCAAUAAGGAUCCUUGUAUCUGUAUAUACUUUCCUGACUCAUCCCACUACCUGCCUCGGGACGUGAGGGCAGAAACAAAUUGUUAAUAUUAAUGGCAGUGCUUUUACCUUACAUGAAUGUGGUGUUUGUAUAGAUGCUGCAUCCAGAUGUGGCUUUGUCUGAAGCUCUGUCUGUAGCCUGUUCGCUUCGUCAUGCCCUGAAGCUGGAAGUGUGCUUUGUCAGGUUGCUUUGAAGCACACAAAUCACUGCUGUGCAGUCUGGGUCACCCUCCAUAUACGCAAUCUCUCUAUAUAUACAUGUGUGUAAGCUCAUCACCUGGAGUAAUGCCUGUAAUUAUUACUCAUGUUAUUUACAUUCAUUCACAGCUUGCCUUGUGUUUUUACAUGGAAUUGAGCUACAUAUUUAAUAGAGGUCCCAUUUAAAUAUAUACCAUAAUGUAUUUUAUAUAACUGAAUGAAAUGUAAAAUGUAAGAUUGAUACAAACAGGCAAGUGAAUGACAAUGGAAUACUGGGAUUAUGAGUAAUAUGGUGAAUCAAAGAUAAAAUGUCAUGUGCAACAACAACAAAAAAAUGCUAUAAAUUGA